rnacentral:rRNA from 1 species
UUAGAGUUUGAUCCUGGCUCAGGAUGAACGCUAGCUAUAGGCUUAACACAUGCAAGUCGAGGGGAAACGGCAUUAUGUGCUUGCACAUUUUGGACGUCGACCGGCGCACGGGUGAGUAUCGCGUAUCCAACCUGCCCUUUACUUGGGGAUACCCCGUUGAAAGACGGCCUAAUACCCGAUGUAAUUCAUUGAUGGCAUCAGAUAUGAAUAAAAGAUUUAUCGGUAAAGGAUGGGGAUGCGUCUGAUUAGCUUGUUGGUGAGGUAACGGCUCACCAAGGCAACGAUCAGUAGGGGUUCUGAGAGGAAGGUCCCCCACAUUGGAACUGAGACACGGUCCAAACUCCUACGGGAGGCAGCAGUGAGGAAUAUUGGUCAAUGGGCGCAAGCCUGAACCAGCCAAGUAGCGUGCAGGAAGACGGCCCUAUGGGUUGUAAACUGCUUUUAUACGAGAAUAAUUUGAUGCACGUGUGCGUUAUUGCAUGUAUCGUAUGAAUAAGGACCGGCUAAUUCCGUGCCAGCAGCCGCGGUAAUACGGAAGGUCCAGGCGUUAUCCGGAUUUAUUGGGUUUAAAGGGAGUGUAGGCGGUUUGUUAAGCGUGUUGUGAAAUUUAGAUGCUCAACAUUUAACUUGCAGCGCGAACUGUCAGACUUGAGUACACGCAACGUAUGCGGAAUUCAUGGUGUAGCGGUGAAAUGCUUAGAUAUCAUGAAGAACUCCGAUUGCGAAGGCAGCAUACGGGAGUGUAACUGACGCUUAAGCUCGAAGGUGCGGGUAUCGAACAGGAUUAGAUACCCUGGUAGUCCGCACAGUA